rnacentral:rRNA from 1 species
UCCUUCUUUUUCUCUCUUUUUUCGGAAUUACUGGGCGUAAAGCGCACGUAGGCGGCUUUGUAAGUUAGAGGUGAAAGCCCGGGGCUCAACUCCGGAAUUGCCUUUAAGACUGCAUCGCUAGAAUUGUGGAGAGGUAAGUGGAAUUCCGAGUGUAGAGGUGAAAUUCGUAGAUAUUCGGAAGAACACCAGUGGCGAAGGCGACUUACUGGACACAUAUUGACGCUGAGGUGCGAAAGCGUGGGGAGCAAACAGG